AGGGAAGCGCAGCGGGGCUGGGGAAGGGUCUGGAGCACAAGUCCUAUCAGGAGCGGCUGGGGUGUUUAGCAGGCUGAGGGGGACCCUACUGCUCUCUACAGCUGCCUGAAAGGAAGGAGUAGCAAGAUGGCGUUCGGCCUCCUCUCACAGGCAACAGGCGCCAGUACAAAAGGAGAUAGCCUCAAGCUGUGAUAUGGAAGGUUUAGGUUGGACAUCAGGAAAAAUUUCUUCACGGGAAGGGUGGUUAAAUAUUGGAACAGGCUGCCCAGUCAGGUAUUGGUGUCACACACCCUGGAGGUGUUUAAAGAAAGACUGGAUAUGGCACUCAGUGCCAUGGUCUAUCAGACAAAAUCCACUACACAGUAGACUGUGUUCGGUCAUAGGUUGUGUUGUAAAUUACUCAACACAAACGGGCAGGUCAAUCAAUAAGGCAAUUUAUUAGUUUGUUGAUAAGGAACAGACAAGCAGUGCUGAGGGCGUGGGGAAUCUGUGCUCCACCAACACGUCCAUCUCACCUUUGGUCACUGCUCCUUUCACAGGCAGUUUCUUGGUGGGCUGUGAUGUGCCUCUGUGCUGGGGUACAAGUCAGAGCAAGCCCAAACAUGGUAGCCAGCCCUCAAGCAGCAGUGGUCACAAGCCCCCAGGUCUGGACAAGGCUCAAACAUGUUGUCAGGUUACACUCCGAGCAAGCAGGUAACAGCAGGGACAAAUCUGCUCCUGCUCGCACAAGCCUGCAUUUCCUUAUACAUAAAAAGUGGAUACAACCCAUGAUUAUAGUGGCAAAGUAAAAAAAAAUGCAUAAACCCAAAAAGAACAGCAAAGUGAUUUUAACAAAUGUAAUGAAAUCAUCAUAUUUUCCUGUGUUUCAUGUCCAUGCUUUACUUUGAAUUCAAGAUCUUUUCCAACCUAAGUGAUUCUGUGAUUCCUCCCCUCCCUUGCUACCUCCCUCUCUGCAUGGACUGAGCCCUCCUAGCAGAAAAAACCACAGUUACACCCCCAUGGCACGUCUGUCAUUGCAGUGUUUAUUGAACUAAUGGACGGAUUACAAUUUCACAUCUGAGCAGUAAAUCAUCUGCCAAGCACCUGCCACCUCCGUGCAGGGUGGGACGGAAUGGGCAGGAACAGGGAGUGGCCAAGGAGCAAGGUACACCACAGGAUCUGCACACACCUGGCUGUGCGCACAGGCAUAUGCCAAUACAGAGAUUAGAGAAGGAGUAAUAAAUCCUAUCUUAACAUGGGGCAAAGUUUACACUGUUAAUUGCAGUCAGGGCAAGCAAAAGAUUAAAAAAAAGGUAGCAAAAUGACGGGGGAAAAAAGGCACAUUGUUACUACAUCACCAGAAAACAAGCAUUUGAUUUAACAGUUCCAAAUUAGUGCAUGACAAAUCACCAUAUGAAAAUCAAAACUGCAGUUCAAAAGAUAAGGCAGCAAUACAAGA